CCAGCCGCCGCGGUAACACCGGCAGCUCUAGUGGUAGCAAUUUUAUUGGGCCUAAAGCGUCCGUAGCCGGUUUAAUAAGUCUCUGGUGAAAUCCUGCAGCUUAACUGUGGGAAUUGCUGGAGAUACUAUUAGACUUGAGACCGGGAGAGGUUAGAGGUACUCCCAGGGUAGAGGUGAAAUUCUGUAAUCCUGGGAGGACCGCCUGUUGCGAAGGCGUCUAACUGGAACGGUUCUGACGGUGAGGGACGAAAGUUAGGGGCGCGAACCGGAUUAGAUACCCGGGUAGUCCUAACUGUAAACGAUGCGGACUUGGUGUUGGGGUGGCUUUGAGCUGCUUCAGUGCCGAAGGGAAGCUGUUAAGUCCGCCGCCUGGGGAGUACGGUCGCAAGACUGAAACUUAAGGAAUUGGCGGGGGAGCACCACAACGCGUGGAGCCUGCCGGUUUAAUUGGAUUCAACGCCGGACAUCUCACCAGAGGCGACAGCUGUAUGAUAGCCAGGUUGAUGACUUUGCUUGACUAGCUGAGAGGUGGUGCAUGG
rnacentral:rRNA from 1 species